CUUGAGUUAUAAACAUAAGAGGUCCAGCCUGCCCAGUGAUUAAAUUUAACGGCCGCGGUAUCCUAACCGUGCGAAGGUAGCGUAAUCACUUGUUCUUUAAAUGAGGACUAGUAUGAAUGGCACCACGAAGGUUUUACUGUCUCCUUUUCCUAAUCAGUGAAACUAAUCUUCCCGUGAAGAAGCGGGAAUAAACGAAUAAGACGAGAAGACCCUAUGGAGCUUUAAACACAAUAACAAAUACUACUUUAAACAAAAAUUUCUUAAUGACUUACUCCCUGGUAUUAUGAUUAUUAGUUUUAGGUUGGGGUGACCGCGGAGAAAAACACAACCUCCACAUUGAAUGAUAAAAUUCUAAGCAAAGAAUUACAUUUCCACGCAUCAAUACAUUGACAUCAAUUGACCCAAUUAUUUUGAUCAACGAAC
rnacentral:rRNA from 2 species